rnacentral:lncRNA from 1 species
CAGCCUUAAUUUCAACGAGGAAAGAAAAAUAGCCGAGGUACCCAAGCCUGAUUUCGAGAGAAACGACACUAAAACAGAUGAACCAAAAUCCUCAAUCAACCGAAUGGAGGACCGAAUCUGGUAUAGUCUGAGCUCUGGUGAACUCAGACGGAGGCAGCAAACGACCAACCAAAAUAGAUUCCUGCGAACUCACUGUUUUCCGAACGACGGAAGAAAAAAAAUAUUGAGAAUUUCAAAUCGGACUUAUCAAACGGACCAACUGCAUCCACGAUGGCGCCGAUUCCGACGAGAUUUCACCGGAAAUCUGAAGGGGGACGACUGACUCUUUCAAAUCAUCUCCAUUUUUACUCAUUUUCUUGUUGUUUUCAUGUGUGGGUGCGUGAAUUUGGAGUGGUGAGUUGUGGUUGUUGAGAACAAGAUCCAAGAAAAUGGCUUCGAUGUGUAUAUGAAUAUAUUUCUUUAGACCCCCCUGUGAAUGAAUAUCAGUGGGUUUAUAUAUUGUUGUUGUAUAUGAAUUGUGAAUCUCUUUUUUCUGUUCC